CUGUGUGUUGUUGGGUAGGGGAGCGUUCUGUAAGCCUGUGAAGGUGUGUCGUGAGGCAUGCUGGAGGUAUCAGAAGUGCGAAUGCUGACAUAAGUAACGAUAAAGCGGGUGAAAAGCCCGCUCGCCGGAAGACCAAGGGUUCCUGUCCAACGUUAAUCGGGGCAGGGUGAGUCGACCCCUAAGGCGAGGCCGAAAGGCGUAGUCGAUGGGAAACGGGUUAAUAUUCCCGUACUUGGUGUUACUGCGAAGGGGGGACGGAGAAGGCUAUGUUGGCCGGGCGACGGUUGUCCCGGUUUAAGCGUGUAGGUGUGUGUUCCAGGUAAAUCCGGUUCACUUUAACACUGAGGCGUGACGACGAGGCACUACGGUGCUGAAGCAACAAAUGCCCUGCUUCCAGGAAAAGCCUCUAAGCAUCAGGUAACAUCAAAUCGUACCCCAAACCGACACAGGUGGUCAGGUAGAGAAUACCAAGGCGCUUGAGAGAACUCGGGUGAAGGAACUAGGCAAAAUGGUGCCGUAACUUCGGGAGAAGGCACGCUGACACGUAGGUGAAGUGAUUUACUCAUGGAGCUGAAGUCAGUCGAAGAUACCAGCUGGCUGCAACUGUUUAUUAAAAACACAGCACUGUGCAAACACGAAAGUGGACGUAUACGGUGUGACGCCUGCCCGGUGCCGGAAGGUUAAUUGAUGGGGUCAGCGCAAGCGAAGCUCCUGAUCGAAGCCCCGGUAAACGGCGGCCGUAACUAUAACGGUCCUAAGGUAGCGAAAUUCCUUGUCGGGUAAGUUCCGACCUGCACGAAUGGCGUAAUGAUGGCCAGGCUGUCUCCACCCGAGACUCAGUGAAAUUGAACUCGCUGUGAAGAUGCAGUGUACCCGCGGCAAGACGGAAAGACCCCGUGAACCUUUACUAUAGCUUGACACUGAACAUUGAGCCUUGAUGUGUAGGAUAGGUGGGAGGCUUUGAAGUGUGGACGCCAGUCUGCAUGGAGCCGACCUUGAAAUACCACCCUUUAAUGUUUGAUGUUCUAACGUGGACCCGUUACCCGGGUUGCGGACAGUGUCUGGUGGGUAGUUUGACUGGGGCGGUCUCCUCCUAAAGAGUAACGGAGGAGCACGAAGGUUGGCUAAUCCUGGUCGGACAUCAGGAGGUUAGUGCAAUGGCAUAAGCCAGCUUGACUGCGAGCGUGACGGCGCGAGCAGGUGCGAAAGCAGGUCAUAGUGAUCCGGUGGUUCUGAAUGGAAGGGCCAUCGCUCAACGGAUAAAAGGUACUCCGGGGAUAACAGGCUGAUACCGCCCAAGAGUUCAUAUCGACGGCGGUGUUUGGCACCUCGAUGUCGGCUCAUCACAUCCUGGGGCUGAAGUAGGUCCCAAGGGUAUGGCUGUUCGCCAUUUAAAGUGGUACGCGAGCUGGGUUUAGAACGUCGUGAGACAGUUCGGUCCCUAUCUGCCGUGGGCGCUGGAGAACUGAGGGGGGCUGCUCCUAGUACGAGAGGACCGGAGUGGACGCAUCACUGGUGUUCGGGUUGUCAUGCCAAUGGCACUGCCCGGUAGCUAAAUGCGGAAGAGAUAAGUGCUGAAAGCAUCUAAGCACGAAACUUGCCCCGAGAUGAGUUCUCCCUGAGACUUAGAGUCUCCUGAA
rnacentral:rRNA from 1 species